GGUCCACAGAACAUAAGAAAUAAUAUUGAAAAAAAAAAAACUUGCAAUGUCAUUUAAUAGUGUUAAGAAGACUAGCAGGGGUAGAGACAGGAGGACAUCCCAGGAUACUUGGAAUGAUUUUGAACAGAAAACAGGAACUCAGACGAGGGGAGUAUUGCUUGCAAACAGUCCUGUGCCUCACACUUCUUGGACCAAGAAAGAGCUGUGAGCAGUUUUUUGUAACCUUUAUAAGCUACAUGUUGUAAAACUUUCGCCUGUUUGA